AACGAACGCUGGCGGCAUGCCUAACACAUGCAAGUCGAACGAAGCCUUCGGGCUUAGUGGCGCACGGGUGCGUAACGCGUGGGAAUCUGCCCCUUGCUUCGGAAUAACAGUUAGAAAUGACUGCUAAUACCGGAUGAAGUCUUCGGACCAAAGAUUUAUCGGCAAGGGAUGAGCCCGCGUAGGAUUAGGUAGUUGGUGGGGUAAAGGCCUACCAAGCCGACGAUCCUUAGCUGGUCUGAGAGGAUGAUCAGCCACACUGGGACUGAGACACGGCCCAGACUCCUACGGGAGGGAGCCAGGGGGAAUAUUGGAACAUGGACGCAAGUCCUAUCCAGCAAUGCCGCGUGAGUUAAGAAGGGCUUAGGGUUGUAAAGCUCUUUUACCAGGGAUGAUAAUGACAGUACCUGGAGAAUAAGCUCCGGCUAACUCCGUG
rnacentral:rRNA from 1 species